CGUGAGCGACGCUGAUAUAUAAACAGUGAGCGCAGGUGAUGGCGGCAGGCGUUCGUGGUCUGGCGGUGUGAUUGGAGCUGAAGCUGCGGGUGGUGGCGGCCUAACUUUCAGCCUGAUCAGCGGGUGGCUGUCUCUUUGGCGUUGCUAUCAUGAGAGCCAAGUGGCGUAAGAAGAGAAUGCGGAGGCUGAAGCGUAAGCGAAGAAAGAUGAGGCAGAGGUCCAAAUGAAAGCCCAGGCACAGCUGCUGUUUGUGGACGUUCUGGUUAUGAGCAGACUGAAGUUUCUUAACUACAGGAAAUCUAUUUAAUACUGUUCCCAACUACAAGCUGCUUUCAUAGCUACUGUUGUACACGUGCUUAAAUUUAUACAUAAACAAAUGUUCAGCUUUCAAUUUUAAACUUGUAACUGGCAUUUUAUAAAUAAAGACUUUGAAAUGUUUGCAGAAAA